rnacentral:rRNA from 1 species
CCUACGGGAGACAGCAGUGAGGAAUAUUGGUCAAUGGGCGGAAGCCUGAACCAGCCAAGUAGCGUGCAGGAUGACGGCCCUACGGGUUGUAAACUGCUUUUAUACGGGAAUAACGCGCCUUACGUGGAAGGCUUUGCCUGUACCGUAUGAAUAAGGACCGGCUAAUUACGUGUCAGCAGCCGCGGUAAUACGGAAGGUCCGGGGUGUAACCGGGUUUAUUGGGUUUAAAGGGAGCGUAGGCCGCAUGUCAAGCGUGCUGUGAAAUGUCCGGGCUCAACCCGGGCCUUGCAGCGCGAACUGGCGUGCUUGAGUCCGCGGAAAGCAGGCGGAAUGCGUCGUGUAGCGGUGAAAUGCUUAGAUAUGACGAAGAACCCCGAUUGCGAAGGCAGCUUGCUGCAGCGGAACUGACGCUGAUGCUCGAAAGCGCGGGUAUCGAACAGGAUUAGAUACCCGAGUAGUC